rnacentral:rRNA from 1 species
CAGUCGCCGCGGUAAUACGUAGGUGGCAAGCGUUGUCCGGGAUUAUUGGGCGUAAAGGGCUCGCAGGCGGUUUCUUAAGUCUGAUGUGAAAGCCCCCGGCUCAACCGGGGAGGGUCAUUGGAAACUGGGAAACUUGAGUGCAGAAGAGGAGAGUGGAAUUCCACGUGUAGCGGUGAAAUGCGUAGAGAUGUGGAGGAACACCAGUGGCGAAGGCGACUCUCUGGUCUGUAACUGACGCUGAGGAGCGAAAGCGUGGGGAGCGAACAGGAUUAGAUACCCGCGUAGUCCCUGUCUCUUAUAC